UCCUACGGGAGGCAGCAGUGGGGAAUUGUUCGCAAUGGGCGCAAGCCUGACGACGCAACGCCGCGUGGAGGAUGAAGAUUUUCGGAUCGUAAACUCCUGUCGAAUGGGACGAAAAGGUCGCGGUCUAAUACUCCGUGAUCCUGACGGUACCGUUAAAGGAAACCCCGGCUAACUCCGUGCCAGCAGCCGCGGUAAUACGGGGGGGGUAAGCGUUGUUCGGAAUUACUGGGCGUAAAGGGCUCGUAGGCGGCCAACUAAGUCAGACGUGAAAUCCCUCAGCUUAACUGGGGAACUGCGUCUGAUACUGGAUGGCUUGGAUUCGGGAGAGGAAUGCGGAAUUCCAGGUGUAGCGGUGAAAUGCGUAGAUAUCUGGAGGAACACCGGUGGCGAAGGCGGCAUUCUGGACCGAUAUUGACGCUGAGGAGCGAAAGCCAGGGGAGCAAACGGGAUUAGAUACCCCGGUAGUCCUGGCCCUAAACGAUGAAUGCUUGGUGUGGCGGGUAUCGAUCCCUGCCGUGCCGAAGCUAACGCAUUAAGCAUUCCGCCUGGGGAGUACGGUCGCAAGGCUGAAACUCAAAGGAAUUGACGGGGGCCCGCACAAGCGGUGGAGCAUGUGGUUCAAUUCGACGCAACGCGAAGAACCUUACCCAGGCUCGAAAUACAGCGGACAGUCUCAGAAAUGAGAUCUCCCGCAAGGGCUGCUGUAUAGGUGCUGCAUGGCUGUCGUCAGCUCGUGCCGUGAGGUGUUGGGUUAAGUCCCGCAACGAGCGCAACCGUUAUCAUUAGUUGCCAGCACGUAAGGUGGGGACUCUAAUGAGACUGCCUAGGUUAACUAGGAGGAAGGUGAGGAUGACGUCAAGUCCGCAUGGCCUUUAUGUCUGGGGCUACACACGUGCUACAAUGGUCGGUACAGAAGGUAGCAAUAUCGCAAGAUGGAGCAAAUCCGUAAAGCCGAUCUCAGUUCGGAUUGUGGUCUGCAACUCGACCACAUGAAGUUGGAAUUGCUAGUAAUGACGUGUCAGCAACAGCGUCGUGAAUACGUUCCCGGGCCUUGUACACACCGC
rnacentral:rRNA from 1 species